rnacentral:rRNA from 1 species
AGCGAACGCUGGCGGCAGGCCUAACACAUGCAAGUCGAACGAACCUUUCGGGGUUAGUGGCGGUCGGGUGAGUAACACGUGGGAACGUGCCUUUAGGUUCGGAAUAACUCAGGGAAACUUGUGCUAAUACCGCUUGUGCCCUUCGGGGGAAAGAUUUGCCGCCUUUUGAGCGGCCCGCGACCGAUUAGCUGGUUGGUUGUGGUAAUGGCUCACCACGGCUAGGUUCAGUAGCUGGUCUGGGAGGAGGAUAAGCCAGAUUGGCGCUAAGACACGGCCCAAACUCGGACGGGGGGGAGCAGUGGGGAAUCUUGCGGGAUGGGCGAAAGCCCGACGCAGCCAGGCCGGGGGAAUGAGGCAGGUCUUAGGAAUGUAAAAUUCUUUGAGCGGGAGCGAUAAUGACGGUACCCGGAGAAGAAGCCCCGGCUAACUUCGUG